rnacentral:lncRNA from 1 species
AUGAGAGGAAGACCGUAGUCCAGGAGCAGCUAUGGCUCAUGGCUGUAAUCCCAACACUUUGGGAGGCUGAAGCAGGUAGAUCGCUGAGUCCAGGGGUUUGAGACCAGCCUGGGCAAUAUGGUGAAACCCUAUCUCACACACACAUAAAAUUAGCCAGCAUGGUGGCACACUCCUUUAGUCCCAGCUACUCAGGAGGCUGAGGUGAGAGGACUGAUUGAGCCCGGGAGGUCAAGGCUACAGUGAGCCAUGAUCACAUCCCUGCAUUCCAGCUUGGGUGACAGAGUGAGACCCUAUCUCGAGAAAAAAAAAAAAGAGAGAGAUAGAGGAAGACCAAAAAAGGGUAAUGGAACUGGUCAUGGUGGCUCAUGUUUACAGUCCUAGCUACUUAUCCAACCCACGGCCCAUGGGCUGCAUGAAGCCCAGGACAGCUUUGAACAUGGCCCAACACAAAUUCAUAAACUUUCUUAAAAAUUAUGAGAUUUUUGCCAGGCACAGUGGCUUACGCCUGUAAUCCCAGCACUUUAGGAGGCUGAGGCAGGUGGAUCACCUGAGGUCAGGAGUUCAAGACCAGCCUGACCAGCAUGGUGAAAUCCCAUCUCUACUAAAAAUACAAAAUUAACGGGCAUGGUGGUACAUGCCUGUAAUUCCAGCUACUAGGAAAGCUGAGGCAGGAGAAUCACUUGAACCUGGGAGGCAGAGUUUGCAGUGAGCCGAGAUCAUGCCAUUGCACGCCAGCCUGGGCAACUAGAGCGAAACUCCAUCUCAAAAAAAAAAAAAAAAAAAUUAUGAGUUUUAUGUGUUUUUUUUUUAAGCUCAUCAGCUAUCAUUAGUGUUAGUGUAUUUUAUGUGUGGCCCAAGGCAAUUCUUCUUCCAGUGUGGCCCAGGGAAGCCAAAAGAUUGGACACCCCUGCUCUACAGUGUUCUUAACAAGAGAUCCUGCAGGUUGGACAAGCUUGCUCUACAGCGUUCUUAACAAGAGAUCAUCUAGCCCCUGGGUGGCCGUCUGCACUGUCUGAGGGCUCAUGACUGUGACCUCAGAGACUCUUUAAAUGAUGAAAUCAUGGCUAUAACUAUGGCAAACCUCAAUGGAGAAUGUCAUGCCAAUCAUAACCUCGUUUCACCUGAGCUGCACAAUUACUUCUCAGAUGAGAAAAUGGAGGUACCAAAAAGUGGGCUCUGAACUGUGGAGC